UGCGGUUAUUACAGCAAAGAGGAUACACCUGACCCCAUGCCGAACUCAGAAGUGAAACGCCGUAGCGCCGAUGGUAGUGUGGGGCUCCCUGUGAGAGUAGGACGUAGCCGCGU
rnacentral:rRNA from 1 species